rnacentral:rRNA from 1 species
UACGUAGGGUGCGAGCGUUAAUCGGAAUUACUGGGCGUAAAGCGUGCGCAGGCGGUGAUGUAAGACAGAUGUGAAAUCCCCGGGCUCAACCUGGGACCUGCAUUUGUGACUGCAUCGCUGGAGUGCGGCAGAGGGGGGAUGGAAUUCCGCGUGUAGCAGUGAAAUGCGUAGAUAUGCGGAGGAACACCGAUGGCGAAGGCAAUCCCCUGGGCCUGCACUGACGCUCAUGCACGAAAGCGUGGGGAGCAAACAGG